GAUGAACGCUAGCUGGAGGCUUAAUACAUGCAAGUCGAGCGGGAUUGGUAGCAAUACCAUGAGAGCGGCGGACGGGUGAGUAACGCGUACACGACCUACCUUUGACUGGGGGAUAGCCCU
rnacentral:rRNA from 1 species